rnacentral:rRNA from 1 species
AGAACGAACGCUGGCGGCAGGCCUAACACAUGCAAGUCGAACGAAACCUUCGGGUUGAGUGGCGCACGGGUGAGUAACGCGUGGGAAUCUGCCCUGUGGUACGGAAUAACAUCGGGAAACUGGUGCUAAUACCGUAUAUCCCCUGAGGGGGAAAGAUUUAUCGCCAUAGGAGGAGCCCGCGUAGGAUUAGCUAGUUGGUGGGGUAACGGCCUACCAAGGCGACGAUCCUUAGCUGGUCUGAGAGGAUGAUCAGCCACACUGGGACUGAGACACGGCCCAGACUCCUACGGGAGGCAGCAGUGGGGAAUAUUGGACAAUGGGGGAAACCCUGAUCCAGCCAUGCCGCGUGUGUGAUGAAGGCCUUCGGGUUGUAAAGCACUUUCGCACGUGAAGAUGAUGACGGUAACGUGAGAAGAGCCCGGCUAACUUCGCGCCAGCAGCCGC